rnacentral:sRNA from 1 species
GAAGCAGAACCAAACAAAAUAGAUUGAGAUAGUUGCUAUAGAUAGAUAGAUGGAUAGACAGAUAGAGACAGCUCGGGUUUGACAUUGAGCUAAGGACGCGAUAGCUGGCUCUGACUGCGACCGUGUUGAUUUCUGCUCUGUCUGUCCCCGUACGGCAUCUACUCGUACAAUGGCAACUGCGACUGCGAUUGUUGUGCACAAUGCAUUUGUGCAAUUGUAAUUUCGUAUUGAUAAGCUAGUAAAUCCAACUAUAGCAUGGAUGUUGUCGUUGUUUCGCCUGACUCUACGUGACUCUCGGUUCAGCCAGCCAGCAGCGAGAGUCAGUCAGUCAGGCAGUCAGGCAGUCAGCAGUCCCCAGCAGGAAAACGUGGCCAUGUCUGAAGGCAAUAUGGAUUGUGCCAGCCUGCAUUUGUAUGUAUGCAGUGCUUAUCUAAACGCUUUACCUAAGUUAUUCCUGCAAUUCAGUUAUCUUGGCGCACUGCAAUUGACAAUAAUAAAUGGAAGGAAUUCUAUGGAAAUGGAAAUGGAAAUGUGGUUUCCAUUGUAUUGGAUUUGUCUCUCUUUCGUGAUGUGUAAUUUUUCCUUCGUCACUAUCAUUACUAUUAUUAUUAUUAUUGUAUUUUUAGAUUG